rnacentral:rRNA from 1 species
UACGUAGGGUGCGAGCGUUGUCCGGAAUUAUUGGGCGUAAAGGGCUCGUAGGCGGUUUGUCGCGUCGGGAGUGAAAACACCGGGCUUAACUCGGUGCUUGCUUUCGAUACGGGCAGACUAGAGGCAUGCAGGGGAGAACGGAAUUCCUGGUGUAGCGGUGAAAUGCGCAGAUAUCAGGAGGAACACCGGUGGCGAAGGCGGUUCUCUGGGCCGGACCUGACGCUGAGACGCGAAGGCGUGGGGAGCGAACGGG